rnacentral:rRNA from 2 species
UUAAGCGACUAAGCGUACACGGUGGAUGCCCUGGCAGUCAGAGGCGAUGAAGGACGUGCUAAUCUGCGAUAAGCGUCGGUAAGGUGAUAUGAACCGUUAUAACCGGCGAUUUCCGAAUGGGGAAACCCAGUGUGAUUCGUCACACUAUCAUUAACUGAAUCCAUAGGUUAAUGAGGCGAACCGGGGGAACUGAAACAUCUAAGUACCCCGAGGAAAAGAAAUCAACCGAGAUUCCCCCAGUAGCGGCGAGCGAACGGGGAGCAGCCCAGAGCCUGAAUCAGUGUGUGUGUUAGUGGAAGCGUCUGGAAAGGCGCGCGAUACAGGGUGACAGCCCCGUACACAAAAAUGCACAUGCUGUGAGCUCGAUGAGUAGGGCGGGACACGUGGUAUCCUGUCUGAAUAUGGGGGGACCAUCCUCCAAGGCUAAAUACUCCUGACUGACCGAUAGUGAACCAGUACCGUGAGGGAAAGGCGAAAAGAACCCCGGCGAGGGGAGUGAAAAAGAACCUGAAACCGUGUACGUACAAGCAGUGGGAGCACAGAGCAAUCUGUGUGACUGCGUACCUUUUGUAUAAUGGGUCAGCGACUUAUAUUCUGUAGCAAGGUUAACCGAAUAGGGGAGCCGAAGGGAAACCGAGUCUUAACUGGGCGUUAAGUUGCAGGGUAUAGACCCGAAACCCGGUGAUCUAGCCAUGGGCAGGUUGAAGGUUGGGUAACACUAACUGGAGGACCGAACCGACUAAUGUUGAAAAAUUAGCGGAUGACUUGUGGCUGGGGGUGAAAGGCCAAUCAAACCGGGAGAUAGCUGGUUCUCCCCGAAAGCUAUUUAGGUAGCGCCUCGUGAAUUCAUCUCCGGGGGUAGAGCACUGUUUCGGCAAGGGGGUCAUCCCGACUUACCAACCCGAUGCAAACUACGAAUACCGGAGAAUGUUAUCACGGGAGACACACGGCGGGUGCUAACGUCCGUCGUGAAGAGGGAAACAACCCAGACCGCCAGCUAAGGUCCCAAAGUCAUGGUUAAGUGGGAAACGAUGUGGGAAGGCCCAGACAGCCAGGAUGUUGGCUUAGAAGCAGCCAUCAUUUAAAGAAAGCGUAAUAGCUCACUGGUCGAGUCGGCCUGCGCGGAAGAUGUAACGGGGCUAAACCAUGCACCGAAGCUGCGGCAGCGACGCUUAUGCGUUGUUGGGUAGGGGAGCGUUCUGUAAGCCUGUGAAGGUGUACUGUGAGGUAUGCUGGAGGUAUCAGAAGUGCGAAUGCUGACAUAAGUAACGAUAAAGCGGGUGAAAAGCCCGCUCGCCGGAAGACCAAGGGUUCCUGUCCAACGUUAAUCGGGGCAGGGUGAGUCGACCCCUAAGGCGAGGCCGAAAGGCGUAGUCGAUGGGAAACAGGUUAAUAUUCCUGUACUUGGUGUUACUGCGAAGGGGGGACGGAGAAGGCUAUGUUGGCCGGGCGACGGUUGUCCCGGUUUAAGCGUGUAGGCUGGUUUUCCAGGCAAAUCCGGAAAAUCAAGGCUGAGGCGUGAUGACGAGGCACUACGGUGCUGAAGCAACAAAUGCCCUGCUUCCAGGAAAAGCCUCUAAGCAUCAGGUAACAUCAAAUCGUACCCCAAACCGACACAGGUGGUCAGGUAGAGAAUACCAAGGCGCUUGAGAGAACUCGGGUGAAGGAACUAGGCAAAAUGGUGCCGUAACUUCGGGAGAAGGCACGCUGAUAUGUAGGUGAAGUCCCUCGCGGAUGGAGCUGAAAUCAGUCGAAGAUACCAGCUGGCUGCAACUGUUUAUUAAAAACACAGCACUGUGCAAACACGAAAGUGGACGUAUACGGUGUGACGCCUGCCCGGUGCCGGAAGGUUAAUUGAUGGGGUCAGCGCAAGCGAAGCUCUUGAUCGAAGCCCCGGUAAACGGCGGCCGUAACUAUAACGGUCCUAAGGUAGCGAAAUUCCUUGUCGGGUAAGUUCCGACCUGCACGAAUGGCGUAAUGAUGGCCAGGCUGUCUCCACCCGAGACUCAGUGAAAUUGAACUCGCUGUGAAGAUGCAGUGUACCCGCGGCAAGACGGAAAGACCCCGUGAACCUUUACUAUAGCUUGACACUGAACAUUGAGCCUUGAUGUGUAGGAUAGGUGGGAGGCUUUGAAGUGUGGACGCCAGUCUGCAUGGAGCCGACCUUGAAAUACCACCCUUUAAUGUUUGAUGUUCUAACGUUGACCCGUAAUCCGGGUUGCGGACAGUGUCUGGUGGGUAGUUUGACUGGGGCGGUCUCCUCCUAAAGAGUAACGGAGGAGCACGAAGGUUGGCUAAUCCUGGUCGGACAUCAGGAGGUUAGUGCAAUGGCAUAAGCCAGCUUGACUGCGAGCGUGACGGCGCGAGCAGGUGCGAAAGCAGGUCAUAGUGAUCCGGUGGUUCUGAAUGGAAGGGCCAUCGCUCAACGGAUAAAAGGUACUCCGGGGAUAACAGGCUGAUACCGCCCAAGAGUUCAUAUCGACGGCGGUGUUUGGCACCUCGAUGUCGGCUCAUCACAUCCUGGGGCUGAAGUAGGUCCCAAGGGUAUGGCUGUUCGCCAUUUAAAGUGGUACGCGAGCUGGGUUUAGAACGUCGUGAGACAGUUCGGUCCCUAUCUGCCGUGGGCGCUGGAGAACUGAGGGGGGCUGCUCCUAGUACGAGAGGACCGGAGUGGACGCAUCACUGGUGUUCGGGUUGUCAUGCCAAUGGCACUGCCCGGUAGCUAAAUGCGGAAGAGAUAAGUGCUGAAAGCAUCUAAGCACGAAACUUGCCCCGAGAUGAGUUCUCCCUGACUCCUUGAGAGUCCUGAAGGAACGUUGAAGACGACGACGUUGAUAGGCCGGGUGUGUAAGCGCAGCGAUGCGUUGAGCUAACCGGUACUAAUGAACCGUGAGGCUUAACCUU